AUCUUUGGCCAUACCACCAUGAAUGCACCAGAUCUCUGAUCUGGGAAGCUAAGCAGGCUCAGGUCUGGUUAAAUACUUAGAUGGAAGACAGCCUGGGAAUACAGGGUGCUGUAGGCU
ensembl:rRNA 5S_rRNA 5S ribosomal RNA